rnacentral:rRNA from 1 species
UACGAAGGGGGCUAGCGUUAUUCGGAAUUACUGGGCGUAAAGCGCACGUAGGCGGCUUUGUAAGUUAGAGGUGAAAGCCUGGAGCUCAACUCCAGAAUUGCCUUUAAGACUGCAUAGCUUGAAUCCAUGAGAGGUGAGUGGAAUUCCGGGUGUAGAGGUGAAAUUCGUAGAUAUUCGGAAGAACACCAGUGGCGAAGGCGGCUCACUGGACUGGUAUUGACGCUGAGGUGCGAAAGCGUGGGGAGCAAACAGG